AACAGUGUGUAGCCACCGCAUGUGAUUUUUCAAUCGAUUGAAAAAUCACUAGGGUGACACACGACGGUGAGCUGCCAUCUGUCAAAAAAAUUUUACACCAUUGUAUUUUUAUUUUGCAAUAGGGUUAGGGUAUAGCAAAAGUGCAAGACCAUUGUAAAAUUUCAAUCCAUAUAUUUUGUUGUUGUAGUGUUGCAAGAUUUUACACUUUUGCACUUUUGCAAUGAUACAAGACCAGUUGCAUCGGAUCGUGAAUACCCCUAAUGCAAAUUUGAUAGAAUCGGAGCCAUGUCCAUUAACAUGUCAUUGGACAGUUUGGCUUCACCGUCAUGGAAACCCAAGGAAUAAAAUUGCUAGUCAAAACUUUUGCCAUUGGCUUGGCCAAUACAUUACUGAGAUUACUCCUAAAAUAAAUCCCUGCGAUGAUGAUGAAUUCUCUCUGACCUACCAUGCGAUACUCCUGCAGUGCGAAAAAAGUGAUUGCUUCUUGGAGCUGCCAUUUGCAGUGAAAGAUAUUGUUUAAUGAAAAGACCAAUAAUUAUGAUGUUGAAGUUAUCCAUGGACUUUAAAGAUACACUUCUUUUCAUCACAAUAGGUACACAAAAAUAACUCGGUUUUUCGAUGUGAAAUGCUUUGCCAUAGAGAAACAAGAAAAAUAACCACACGUUUUGAAUUAUUUUUUUUGCUGAUUCUGCUAACAUCUUAAACAAUGACUUGACAUCAAAAACUUAUUAUUUUUCCUACACUGUUAUUGAGUUUUGAUGGAAAAGUUCAAAACAAACAAAAGUAUUACCAAAUUAGGGGUAUAUCUCUGUUUUAUCUCCUACUUCUCAUCGCACAAAGGAUCAAAUAUCUGUCUGUAUUUUUUAUAAAGGGUUAUAUUCAAUCAGAAUGCAAAAACGGGCCAAAGUUCUUGCCACGUUUAACGAUUGAGUGACAAGGAGCAAACACACGAGGAUAGGGAAGUUCGAACAUUUGUCCCUGUCUUCUCUUUCUUUUUACAGUUACCAUUUUGACGUUUUAAACUCGGCGAAAAGGUAAACAAACAAUUUGAAAUCAUAAAUAAAUGCUCUUUUCAGUGCAAAGGCGGGAUUUUGGUCAACAAUUUAUUUUAAGUGAUAAUUUUAUUAUAAUUAAAGUAAUUAGUAAUAUAAAUAAAUAUUACCGAGCCGCAGAAAGCGAUACACGCAAUUGUAAGCUGAAGUUCCUAAAAAUUCUUAGUUUUUUUUAUAAACAGAUUUUGUUAAAUGUGUAAGAAAAGCUGAGUGCAAUCAAAUAAAACAAAAAAAAGUGAUAAAAUUGCAUAGUUAGUCAAAUUCGAAUGGAUACUUUAAUUAAUUUUAGUUGCAUGAGACCUGCUGAUGUGUUUCAAGUGCUUAGUACCGCGGAUAAAGUUUCUUCUUGCAAUAUGUGGCCCUAGGAUAUAACCUGACAAAGUUCAGAGCAUAUCCAAAAACCUACAUCAGAUUAUACCGUAGGAGGAAGUGAUUCCAUUCCUUCCUAUAGCAAUUUGUGGCCACAAAUUGGUACUGGCGGGCAAAACACUUGAAGAGCAGCAGCAGAACCACAUCCACAUUUUUACUUCCUUUUGGUUGGGUCCUCAAAAUAUUUUCGGGAACAAGUGGAACUGUUUUGUAUCCUAGAUUCAAGCUAGGAACCCAGUCAGGGUUUUGGUUAUCCUUAAGUCGGGCACACUUAC